rnacentral:lncRNA from 1 species
AUGGCAUUCAUUGACCUUGCAAAGGCAUUCGACACAGUGAAUCGCAGCGCUCUCUGGACCAUCCUCCAAACAAUCGGGUGCCCUGACAAAUUUGUGAACAUCCUGCGGCUCCUCCAUGAUGACAUGAUGGCAACAGUCUUGGACAGCAACGGCUCCCAAAGUGACCCAUUUAAGGUGGAAUCGGGUGUCAAGCAGGGAUGUGUUAUUGCCCCCACCUUAUUUUCCAUCUUCAUCGCUAUGAUACUUCACCUUGUUGAUGGGAAGCUUCCCACCGGAGUGGAAAUCAUCUAUCGGAAAGAUAGCAAGCCAUUUAACCUCAGCAGACUGAAAGCCAAAACCAAGGUCACCACAACAUCUGUUAUAGAACUCCAAUAUGCCGAUGACAACGUAGUCUGUGCGCAUUCAGAAGAAGACCUACAAGCCACUCUAAACACCUUCGCAGAAGCGUACGAGAAGCUCGGCCUCUCAUUGAACAUCGAGAAAACCAAAGUGCUCUUCCAACAGGCACCAGCUAAUCCCUCUGCAAUGCCAGAAAACGUUGACCAUUUCCGCUCCCUUGGCAGCCACCUCUCCACAAAAGUCAACAUCGACACUGAAAUACAACACCACCUGAGCUCUGCGAGUGCAGCAUUUUUCCGAAUGAAGCAGAGAGUGUUUGAUGACCAGGACAUGCGUAGAGAUACCAAGGUGCUUGUUUAUAAAGCCAUUCCCCUCCCAACCCUGCUCUACGCCUGCGAAACGUGGACGAUCUACAGACGUCACACUCAACUCCUGGAGCAUUUCCAUCAGCGUUGCCUCAGGAAAAUCCUGCAAAUCUCUUGGGAAGACAGGCGGACAAAUGUCAGCAUGCUUGAGGAAGCAAAGACCACCAGCAUUGAAGCGAUGCUCCUACGCCAUCAACUCUGCUGGACUGGCCACGUUGUCCGAAUGCCUAAAGAUCACCGUCUCCCAAAGCAGUUGCUCUACUCUGAACUCAAGAACGGGAAACAUAAUGUUGGUGGGCAGGAAAAGAGAUUGAAAGAUGGGCUCAAAGCCAACCUUAAAAACUGUGGCAUAGACACUGAGAACUGGGAAGCCCUGGCCCUUGAGCUCUCUAAUUGGAGGUCAGCUGUGACCAGCAGUGCUGCGGAGUUCGAAGAGGCACGAACGGAGGGCUUAAGGGAGAAACGUGCCAAGAGGAAGGCUCGUCAAGCCAACCCUGACCGGGACCGCCUUCCACCUGGAAACCGAUGUCCUCACUGCGGGAGAAUAUGCGGGUCAAGAAUAGGUCUCUUCAGCCAUCUACGGACACACCCCCAAGAUAACAGAAAUGGAGGACCAUCAUCCUCGAAUUACGAGGGAUCGCCUAAGUAA